AGGGGAAACGAUAGAGAAAGCUUGCUUUUUCUAGGCGUCGACCGGCGCACGGGUGAGUAACGCGUAUCCAACCUGCCCAUCACUUGGGGAUAACCUUGCGAAAGUAAGACUAAUACCCAAUGAUAUCUCUAGAAGACAUCUGAAGGAGAUUAAAGAUUUAUCGGUGAUGGAUGGGGAUGCGUCUGAUUAGCUUGUUGGCGGGGUAACGGCCCACCAAGGCGACGAUCAGUAGGGGUUCCGAGAGGAAGGUCCCCCACAUUGGAACUGAGACACGGUCCAAACUCCUACGGGAGGCAGCAGUGAGGAAUAUUGGUCAAUGGGCGAGAGCCUGAACCAGCCAAGUAGCGUGCAGGAUGACGGCCCUAUGGGUUGUAAACUGCUUUUAUAAGGGAAUAAAGUGAGCCUCGUGAGGCUUUUUGCAUGUACCUUAUGAAUAAGGACCGGCUAAUUCCGUGCCAGCAGCCGCGGUAAUACGGAAGGUCCGGGCGUUAUCCGGAUUUAUUGGGUUUAAAGGGAGCGUAGGCCGGAGAUUAAGCGUGUUGUGAAAUGUAGAUGCUCAACGUCUGCACUGCAGCGCGAACUGGUUUCCUUGAGUACGCACAAAGUGGGCGGAAUUCGUGGUGUAGCGGUGAAAUGCUUAGAUAUCACGAAGAACUCCGAUUGCGAAGGCAGCUCACUGGAGCGCAACUGACGCUGAAGCUCGAAAGUGCGGGUAUCGAACAGGAUUAGAUACCCUGGUAGUCCGCGCGGUAAACGAUGGAUGCCCGCUGUUGGUCUGAAUAGGUCAGCGGCCAAGCGAAAGCAUUAAGCAUCCCACCUGGGGAGUACGCCGGCAACGGUGCAACUCAAAUGAAUUGACGGA
rnacentral:rRNA from 1 species